GAUGAACGCUGGCGGCGUGCCUAAUACAUGCAAGUCGAGCGAACAGACGAGGAGCUUGCUCCUCUGUCGUUAGCGGCGGACGUGUGAGUAACACGUGGAUAACCUACCUUUAAGACUGGGAUAACUUCGGGAAACCGGCGCUAAUACCGUAUAAUAUCUUUAACCGCAUGGUUCAAUAGUGAAAUACGGUUUUGCUGUCACUUAUCGAUGUAUCCGCGUCGCAUUAGCUAGUUGGUAAGGUAACGGCUUACCAAGGCAACGAUGCGUAGCCGACCUGAGAGGGUGAUCGGCCACACGGGAACUGAGAGACGGACUAGAAUCCUAAGGGAGGCAGGAGUAGGGAAGGAGCCGCAAGGGGCGAAAGCCUGACGGAGCAACGAAGCGUGAGUGAUGAAGGUCGUCGGAGCGUAAAACUCUGUUAUUAGGGAAGAACAAAUGUGUAAGUAACUAUGCACGUCUUGACGGUACCUAAUCAGAAAGCCACGGCUAACUACGUG
rnacentral:rRNA from 1 species